UACGUAGGGCGCAAGCGUUGUCCGGAAUUAUUGGGCGUAAAGAGCUCGUAGGCGGCUUGUCACGUCGGAUGUGAAAGCCCGAGGCUUAACCUCGGGUCUGCAUUCGAUACGGGCUAGCUAGAGUGUGGUAGGGGAGAUCGGAAUUCCUGGUGUAGCGGUGAAAUACGCAGAUAUCAGGAGGAACACCGGUGGCGAAGGCGGAUCUCUGGGCCAUUACUGACGCUGAGGAGCGAAAGCGUGGGGAGCGAACAGG
rnacentral:rRNA from 1 species